rnacentral:rRNA from 1 species
GAUGAACGCUGGCGGCGUGCCUAAUACAUGCAAGUCGAACGAAAGGACGAGAAGCUUGCGUGUCGGAUGUUAGCGGCGGACGGGUGAGUAACACGUGUAUAACCUACCUAUCAGACUGGGAUAAUUUCGGGAAACCGGAGCUAAUACCGGAUGAUAUUUUGAACCGCAUGGGUCAAUAGUGAGAUACGGUCUUUGUGGAAGUUAUAGAUGGAUCCGGGCUGCAUUAGCUGGUUGGUAAGGUAACGGCUUACCAAGGCGACGAGGCAUAGCCGACGUGAGAGGGUGGUCGGCCACACUGGAAGUGAGGCAGCGUCAAGACGCCUGCGGGAGGCAGCAGUAGGGAAUGUUACGCAAUGGGCGAGAGCCUGACAGAGCAACGGCGCGUGAGUGAUGAAGGUCUUCGGAUCGGGAAGAUCUGUUAUUAGGGGAGAACAUAUGUGUAAGUAACCGUGCAGAUAGUGACGGUACCUGGUCAAGAAGCCACGGCUAACUACGUG